GUGGGUAUAGCUCAGUGGCAGAGCGCAUGCUUAGCAUGCAAAAGGUCCUGGGUUUAAUCCCCAGCAUCUCCA
rnacentral:tRNA from 1 species